GAUAUUCAAAAAGUACAUACCUCAAAGAAAACGAUGACGCGAGUUAUCGUCUCUAACGUUCGAGGACUACAAAAAACACUCGGAUUGUAGGCAACAGUUUACUUCCUGGGAUUAGUGACGUAGAUAAGACCAACAUUAUCAUAGUUCAGCCCUCUCUGCUUUGCUUGGGUACGCCCUCAAAGACGAGGGUGGGGAGCGCCGAGUCAGAAGAGAGCUAAAAUGGUGGAGGUUGGGAGUCCCUGCUUUGACUCUGUUUGCAAACUCUUGUUUCAUUGUUUAAGCGAUUAAAUCUCUCGAGUAGACGCUGUCUCUUUAGAUGCGAGGGCAAAAUAGCACUUUAUGGACUUCCACAGAGGACAUCAUGUUUAAUACGGUUCCGGAAAAAUCCAGUCAGAAGUUGUUCACGGAGUUUUCACAAUAACUGCUUCUCAUGAACCGAAGCUGGAUUUGCGCGACGUCUCCUCUUGAAAGUUGGAUUACUGUGCACUUCUGGAUCACAGACUAUUCGCAGCUGUACACAUCCUUCUACACUGUAUGCAAACAUGCAACAUCAUUACACACAGUACAAGGAGUCAGACUGGCAUAUGAGGAGCAAAGGAACCCAGGCAGUAGCAUCGUUUCACAAUGUUUCCAUCAUCAUCAUCAGUGGAUGCCUUUGCCGUCCGUAGCCUGAGAUUUCAGAUUUGCAGC